UGGGGAAUAUUGGACAAUGGGCGAAAGCCUGAUCCAGCCAUGCCGCGUGAGUGAUGAAGGCCCUAGGGUUGUAAAGCUCUUUCAACGGUGAAGAUAAUGACGGUAACCGUAGAAGAAGCCCCGGCUAACUUCGUGCCAGCAGCCGCGGUAAUACGAAGGGGGCUAGCGUUGUUCGGAUUUACUGGGCGUAAAGCGCACGUAGGCGGACUAUUAAGUCAGGGGUGAAAUCCCGGGGCUCAACCCCGGAACUGCCUUUGAUACUGGUAGUCUCGAGUCCGGAAGAGGUGAGUGGAAUUCCGAGUGUAGAGGUGAAAUUCGUAGAUAUUCGGAGGAACACCAGUGGCGAAGGCGGCUCACUGGUCCGGUACUGACGCUGAGGUGCGAAAGCGUGGGGAGCAAACAGG
rnacentral:rRNA from 1 species